rnacentral:rRNA from 1 species
AACGAACGCUGGCGGCAUGCCUAACACAUGCAAGUCGAACGAGACCUUCGGGUCUAGUGGCGCACGGGUGCGUAACGCGUGGGAACCUGCCCUUAGGUUCGGAAUAACUCCCCGAAAGGGGUGCUAAUACCGGAUAAUGUCUUCGGACCAAAGAUUUAUCGCCUUUGGAUGGGCCCGCGUUGGAUUAGCUAGUUGGUAGGGUAAAAGCCUACCAAGGCGACGAUCCAUAGCUGGUCUGAGAGGAUGAUCAGCCACACUGGGACUGAGACACGGCCCAGACUCCUACGGGAGGCAGCAGUGGGGAAUAUUGGACAAUGGGCGAAAGGCUGAUCCAGCAAUGCCGCGUGAGUGAUGAAGGCCUUAGGGUUGUAAAGCUCUUUUAACCGGGAUGAUAAUGACAGUACCGGGAGAAUAAGCUCCGGCUAACUCCGUG